rnacentral:tRNA from 1 species
GGUGUGUUGGCUGAGUGGUCAGAGCCUAGGUCUCGUAACCGAAAGGUUGCGGGAUCGAAUCCCGCUAGAGGCUG